UACGGGGGGGGCAAGCGUUGUUCGGAACUACUGGGCGUAAAGGGCGCGUAGGCGGUUUGGAAAGUCAGAUGUGAAAGCCCAGGGCUUAACCCAGGAACGUCAUUUGAUACUGCCAGACUAGAGUGCGGAAGAGGCAGUCGGAAUUCCUGGUGUAGCGGUGAAAUGCGUAGAUAUCAGGAGGAACAUCGGUGGCGAAGGCGGACUGCUGGGCCGACACUGACUCUGAGGCGCGAAAGCUAGGGGAGCGAACGGG
rnacentral:rRNA from 1 species